CCCCUGGGUAUUGUCCUAGUACGGCGAGUGAGCGACACAGCUCAAAUUUGAAAUCUGGCCCCAGGCCCGAGUUGUAAUUUGCAGAGGAUGUUUCUGGUGAGGUGCCUUCCGAGUUCCCUGGAACGGGACGCCAUAGAGGGUGAGAKCCCCGUYUGGUCGCGCGSUGAGCCUAUGWRAAAMUCCUUYGACGAGUCGAGUAGUUUGGGAAUGCUGCUCUAAAUGGGAGGUAUACGUCUUCUAAAGCUAAAUAUUGGCCAGAGACCGAUAGCGCACAAGUAGAGUGAUCGAAAGAUGAAAAGCACUUUGAAAAGAGGGUUAAAUAGUACGUGAAAUUGUUGAAAGGGAAGCARUUAUGACCAGACYUGGGCCCGGUCAAUCACCCAGCGUUCUYGCUGGUGCACUUGGCCGGCCCAGGCCAGCAUCAGUUUGCCCCGGGGGAUAAAGGCCUCGGGAAUGUGAC
rnacentral:rRNA from 1 species